GGCAGCGUGGCGGCAGCUUUUGGGCAAUUGUGCUAUCUUAAGGAAAGUAAUGGGCUGCUGAUUCCUGCAGCACUCCAAUGACUGCUGUAAUCCAUAAACAGAGACCUAAGAAGUACUGGCAGAGAAAAAAUGAGCUGCAGGCAGAAAGCUCAGCACCAAUGUAAGCCAUUUGAAAAGCCAUUUGACGAACUACAUAGGCCUAGACCAUUUACCUCUGCUGGUUUUGGGAACAGCUCUGAAAGAUGCCCUAAUCUGCUUUCAGCUCUAAUGGUCCAAGGAAUGACAGUGACAGAUAGGAAUAACAAGAGAACAGAGAAGCAAAUGGAUGCAGAGGACAGGUCGAUUAGUGUCUAUUGCACAUGCUCUGGCUACACACAUCUGUAUACAGCUGCUGAGUGCCAGAACUGGGAAGGCUAGCAGUCACAUCCAGGCUGAAAAAUAAGAGAUUCAUCAGAACAAGAAGAGAAUACAGAGUCAGGACAUUCUGCACUCUAGCAAACCCAGACUGACAUUUAACUACUGCUCUAAACUCCACCAGAGCCAAGACACACAUUCAGAAAUUCGGAGGCCUAUAAAUGGUUCAUUUCCUCUGUACAUAUAGUGCCUUUGACAAAACAGUAUGUGUAGUGCAGUAUAGCAACCCUCUUACCUUGACUGAGAAAGCAGUGUAGCUUUGGUUUGAACAUAACCUCCUUUGCAAGGUAUUUACAAAUACGGUAUAUUAGAUUGAUCACAGGACAAAGCAUUGUGCACCAUCACACAAAAGGCUGUAAGUCUUUUGCUCAUAGGAAUAAAAAAACACAGGGCAAGUGAUUACUUAUUAAUAUCACAUAAUGAGACAGACAGAUCUCUGGCUGAGAUUCAGGUCUCUUGCACCCAGAUGCAUGUGUAAAUCACUACCCACUUUUCCUACAAUCAGAUUACUUAACCUUUGCAUAUCUCAUUCUCCCCCAAAGUAAAACAAUAUGCUAUAAUACUCUUUCACCUUUCAGUGACAUAACUGGAGUGCUAAACAUUCACAGCAUACUUUGAAAAUGUAAGAUACUCCAUAAGAAAGCAAAAAGCUGUUAAUGGUUUAGUGCUUGUUUAUCUGCAGGAAAAACAAAAACAUGCAGUAACGACUGCAGGCACCUUCCACAGAGGUGGUACCAUAGGAGUCUUCCAGAUCAGCUCAGGAUAAACAAAACUAAUUAAUUCAUUCUGUGGCACUUUUCAGCUCUGGAACUGGACCCAAAUGAACUAAUAUAGAUGAUUACCAUGAUUUGACAACCUUCUUUAUGCAGCUAAAAUGUUCACUGACAAAAGGCAGUGCUUUAUUGUGCUAACUAGAGAAAAUUGGUUGUU